rnacentral:misc_RNA from 1 species
GCUUAGAAGCUCCUAUUUUAUAUACUAUGGUAAUAGGAGAGGUAGGAACAGUUGAAAGGAAUGCCAAAUUGCAGAUUUCAUUCUAAGUUUCAGCUUUGGUUUCCUCAAGGGUUCUAUAAAUGUUGCGCUUUUGGCUAGUGGAGUGGUUACUGGAGGAUAAGUGAAUGUAGUAAAUACUCUACCCUUAGUGCUUAUAUACAAAAGCAAGAUGGU